GGCUCAGUGGUCUAGUGGUAUGAUUGUCGCUUCGGGUUAUUCCAUUUGCCUGGAUGCUCAGCAUCUAUAUUUGUGACAGGCCCCGGGUUCAAAUCCCGGCUGAGCCC